CGCGCGCGUGACAUUAUUCCGUGUGCGUGUACAUUCGUUCUUACGCAUUCUGUUCGUGCUUCUCUAUCUAUCUGCGCGCUCUACUUUGUGAUUUACGGAACCGUCUGAAUCUCGAUGAUAAUCUCGUGACGUAAAAUAGCCAGCUUAUUAGCCGCAACUGAUUCUCUAAUCUCAGUACAACUACAUUCAUUCUAUUUUAAGAAUGAAUUUUAGACCUCAGAAAACGAAGACGAACUAUCAGCAUUGAGAAAAUAGAGUGAUGUGAAAAUUUAUCGAUUGUUCAAGCGCCCACAUGUCAGGUUUAAUCGGGCGUGUGUUACACAUACGAAGGGUGUAACAUACGCACGUAUUGUGACGCACGCACCCAUAUUCGAGAAUGCAAUAUUGCAGUCGUGUCACUAUCGGCAAUCAGCGGUUGGCUUCUUCACGAGUGAAUAGCCAUGCCGGAACUUUUGUCCAAGGGCUACUUUCAAAGCAAUAAAUAAGACGGAAGGGGCGAGGAGAAAUGAGGAGGUGGAACGUGCGUCAGCCUAUGCGUCGAUCAAAGUACACCCUUAUACAUUUAUCUAUUUCUUGCUUCUCCUUUGUGUUCCAUUAUGUUCUUAUGCUGAAGUAUCAAGAUGUUUGAGAAAGACGUUGCUUUACUCACUAAUUGUGAAAGGUAUAGUUUUUUUAUCCUCUUUUAGUUGGAAUGAGUGUAACUUGUAACAUAAAUCUAUAAUCUUCAUAUAUGUGUAUUGUUUUCACUUAUUAUAUCAAAUAAUUAAAAAUAAAAUAUUAUUGCGCCCGCAGUAAUACGUAA